UACGGGGGGGGCAAGCGUUGUUCGGAAUUACUGGGCGUAAAGGGCUCGUAGGCGGCCAACUAAGUCAGACGUGAAAUCCCCAGGCUCAACCUGGGAACUGCGUCUGAUACUGGAUGGCUUGAAUCCGGGAGAGGGAUGCAGAAUUCCAGGUGUAGCGGUGAAAUGCGUAGAUAUCUGGAGGAACACCGGUGGCGAAGGCGGAUCUCUGGGCCGAUACUGACGCUGAGGAGCGAAAGCCAGGGGAGCAAACGGG
rnacentral:rRNA from 1 species